AAAGAAAAGGGUCUAGACCCCACACACGCCACUCGGUAAGGAAUUGGGCCUAUAGCUCAGCUGGCUAGAGCACACGACUGAUAAUCGUGAGGUCAGUGGUUCGAGUCCACUUGGGCCCACCAAAUGGGGCUGUAGCUCAGUUGGGAGAGCACCUGCUUUGCAAGCAGGGGGUCACCGGUUCGAGACCGGUCAGCUCCACCACAGGGAUAGAUGGCCCGCAAAGAGCGCGGGCUGGUCGCUGGGGAAGCAGUAGAGAAGGGGUUUAGGGUUUAGUGUGUAGUGCUGAAUAACGCUUUAGGGAUGUAGGAAGUAAGGUGCUAUUGAUCACUGCCCACUCGGAAGAUUGAGUGCGUUAGUUUGUUCUUUGACAGUUGAGGAAGGGAAGGCCAUGUUUGUCAUCUUGCCGAUGGCAGACCUCCAGGUGGAUGCUUGGGGAUAUAU
rnacentral:tRNA from 1 species